AUGCAGAUAACUACCAAAUCAGUGUAUUCUUACUUAGAGAAGGAUCUUGCUGGGUGCGACUACAGGUGGAUUUGGAAAGCCAAACUACCUGUUAAAAUCCAGAUUUUUCUUUGGCAGUUAUUUCAAGAUGUUGUUCUCACUAGGGAUGUGAUGAAACAUCGAAAUUGGGCUGGCAACCCAUGAUGUUCCUACUGCAACUGCAGAGAAUCUUACUUGCACCUGUUUUUCCUUUGCCCUGUUGCAAGGGUAGUUUGGCGCGCAGUUGGUGCGAUGCUUGGUACUGAUUUAUGCCCCAACAACUUAUGUCAGUUUUACUCUUGGUGCUACCCCUUUCUUCCUCAUGGAGAGAGGCACUUUUUUGUGGGGUUAGCGGCUAUCUGUUGGGUCAUCUGGAACCGCAAAAAUCAGGCCAAUUUUGAAUUCAAGAAAUUGUCAUCUACUUUUGAGAUUGUCUUCACUGCUUGUACACAUUUAUCCUACUAG
rnacentral:rRNA from 1 species